UACAGAGGUCCCAAGCGUUGUUCGGAUUCACUGGGCGUAAAGGGUGCGUAGGUGGUGAGGUAAGUCGGAUGUGAAAUCUCCAAGCUCAACUUGGAAACUGCAUUGGAAACUACCUUGCUAGAGGAUUUGAGGGGGGGGAUUGGAAUACUUGGUGUAGCAGUGAAAUGCGUAGAGAUCAUGAGGAAGACCAAUGGCGAAGGCGGGUCUCUGGACAGUUCCUGACACUGAGGCACGAAGGCCAGGGGAGCAAACGGG
rnacentral:rRNA from 1 species